rnacentral:rRNA from 1 species
AUGUACUAUGAUAAUCCUGAGAAAACCCCAUUCAAUUAUGUUAUGGGAGACACGUUUGAUCAACGUGAAUACUUUAGGGUUUAUCGCUUGACUCAAAAAGGGAAACUAUUAUGGGAUCAAAUUUAUAUGUUGAAGUGGUAUGCUAGGCAAGUAUGCUUGAGAUAUGAUUAUACUUGUUGCUCUAGGAUGAAGGCUCCACACCUUCCCUUUUCAUGCAAAUUAAAUGAUAAUGAAACUUUGGCUUCUUAUGCUAGAGGUAUAUAUGACUAUUAUGAUGUGGAACAAAUAGAAGAAUUUGUUGCUUUUAUGGGUGCUUAUGAAAUUGAAUCUAUGUUCAAAGAAUAUGAAAAUCUUUAUGAUGCUGUCUACAGACCUGAAAAUUUAGCUAUCCUUAAAUAUUGUUAUGAGAAUUAUGAAUACAAUUCCGAUAUUGAUGCGUUUAUUGAGAAAGUCUCCGCUGUCCCAGAAGAGACUAAUAUUUUGCAGGAAUCUAUGGAAGAAGAAAUUGAUGAAACUGUGAGCUCAUUGGAUGAAAAAGAUGAGGAGGAGAGCGAAGAACAAAAGGAGGAAGAGCGGAUUGAUCACCCGUGCCCACCUUCUAAUGAGAGUAACUCUUCAACUCAUACAUUGUUUAAUUUCCCUUCGUGCUUACUGAAGGAUGAAUGCUAUGAUCCCGUUGAUUCUUUUGAAAUAUCCCUUUUGAUGAUGCUUGCUAUGCUUGUGGCCAAGAUGCCAAUAUGA